rnacentral:rRNA from 1 species
UACGGAGGGUGCAAGCGUUAUCCGGAUUCACUGGGUUUAAAGGGUGCGUAGGAGGGCAGGUAAGUCAGCGGUGAAAUCCCCGAGCUUAACUUGGGAACUGCCAUUGAUACUAUCUGUCUUGAAUAUUGUGGAGGUGAGCGGAAUAUGUCAUGUGGCGGUGAAAUGCUUAGAUAUGACAUAGAACACCAAUUGCGAAGGCAGCUCGCUACACAAAUAUUGACUCUGAGGCACGAAAGCGUGGGGAUCAAACAGG